rnacentral:snoRNA from 1 species
GUUUCCUACUUGAUGAAUCCAACACGGAUGUACAAUUUUUGAGUCCGAGAGCGCUUAACUCGUGUGGAUAUUUCCGUUGCCUUCCUUCUGAUCUCUGCC